GAUCCUGGCUCAGGAUGAACGCUGGCGGCGUGCUUAACACAUGCAAGUCGAACGGGAAUUACUUUAUUGAAACUUCGGUCGAUUUAAUUUAAUUCUAGUGGCGGACGGGUGAGUAACGCGUGGGUAACCUGCCUUAUACAGGGGGAUAACAGUCAGAAAUGGCUGCUAAUACCGCAUAAGCGCACAGAGCUGCAUGGCUCGGUGUGAAAAACUCCGGUGGUAUAAGAUGGACCCGCGUUGGAUUAG
rnacentral:rRNA from 1 species